GCACCCCUGGGACCGACACCCGGAAGGAUGCACGAACACACGUCCACGCAUCCCCGUUCCAGCCCCGGCGGGGCCCCAUCCCCUGCCCCGCGCCCGCUCUGCUACCUUGGUCCGAACUUGCUGGGGCUUCCAAUGUGGCCGCAGCUCCCGGAUGAGGCGCAGGGCGCCGGGGAGGAUGUCGUCCUGGUCCACGGAUAUGCCGAAGCACGGGACGGCGGCGGCCCUCGGGGGGCCCGGCGGUUCCCGGCAGCCCGCGCCGGCCGCAGCCUUCUCCUCCAUGCCCCAUGAGCACUGCGGGCAAGGCGCCUGCCUCCUCAGGAACCUCUCAACCACAAGCUUCCUGUCCUGAUUGCUGUGCAGAAUCCAGCUCUGCGCAGUGGAACUUCUGCGACGAUGGACAUGUCCUAUAUCUGUUCUGUCCAGUGCAGUGGCCACCAGCCACAUGUGACUAUCCAGCAAUUGAAAUGCGGCUAGCGUGACAUUUAAUUUAAUUUUAUGUUUAAUGUAAAUAGCCAUAUAUGGCUGUAUUAUUGAACAGGGUAGGAGAUGAUUGGGGGGCCUGCCUACUUAAGGUCAUGGAGCCCCAGUCUGUUGAGCUGGAAAUGACACUGACUCCAACCCUUCCUGCAAACAGUGAGGAUAUAAAGCCAAGCAGGCAAGAAAGUUCA